AGCUCAAUACAAAAGCCCUGGGUUCAAUCCCUGGGAUCAGCAGACGAAAAUCAACUGUGAGGCCCCACAAGGAUUAAAGGAACAGUGGGUCUGCGUGGGUGGCACACGUGACGUAGGAUUGGUCCUGGAUUUGGGCUGGAGUUGGGGCCGCGGACCUGUGAUUAUUCUCAAGGAAAGGCGCAUGUCACAGGCCACCUUUCUGUCCCCCUCAUUCCCAGACAGAAGCUCCUCAGGGACCGCACAUUCUGUGAAGGAAACGGCAAACAGGACGAUGCAAAGAAACAGAGCAGAGAGCUGGGGCCCUGGAUUUGAUCUCCUCUCCACCAUGAGUUAACUGCUAAGGUUCGAGGUUCAGAUGGGAAGCCAGAUGAGAAGCCAGAGUUGGAGAAGGGCCACCACACGCUCCAGCCACCCACUUCAGAAAGCAGAGACAUCAGAAUUUGCACCCAGGUGAAAUCUACACUGUCUUUAAAAGCUUUUAAGACUGCAAUAAACAUACAUCUCUUUCCCGUAUAAUUUUAAUGGCCUGAAGGAGAGAAUCUAGCGUCCUUGUUAGCUGAAUGGGUGAGUCUGGGGGGAAAACUGACCCAAAUGAGGUCACUCGCCCAGGCGCAGGCCCAACAUAACCGCAGGCCCAACAGAACCGGAUUCCCUAUUCUGUUUUGCAGAGGGCACCAAGGGCAGGUUCCCCCACGGGCCGCCAGGAGGCGACGGAGAGCAACCGAUCCGGCUGUCCUGGGCUUGACUGACGUCCCUGGGCGGCCCGAAGCCCGGCGGAAAAGGCAGGUGCGGGAGCAGCAUAAGAUCCCCCCGAGGCUAGAAAGUGUGUUCAUCCUAUCCCCUCCUGUCGCGAUCUGUCCUCCACCAGUAUCUGCGCUGAGGCCACCUUGGAUGGAUGUCUUUUAAACAAAAAACCUAAAAUAAAUAAAUAAACAAAAAAACCUGA